UCUCACCCCUUUCUCUCCUUUCUCACUUUCUCUCUCUAUCUCUUUCCCACUAACCCCCCCUGUCAGCUCCGGCUUCGUGGCGCAAUUACAUAAAAAUGAUUAAUAAAGAGUAUACCUCAAGUAACAAGAGGAGCUUAAAUCCGAAGCUCCACUUGGCAAAAUAAAAGUGUUGGCACAAUAAGGCACCCAGACUAACAUCCUGCUUGCUAAACAUCCUGUACUGCAUGUCAAUGUCUGUGCCCUAUGGUGACCAGAAGUGUGUUUUUAAUGGCAGCAUGUCAUUCGUAUUGUUGUUUUGGUGUGUGGUUUCAGGGAACCAUGGCAAAGCAAAGUCAUGACCAGCGCCCCUCACAAAGACAGAGGGAAGCCCCCACACAGCGCUUGAAGGGGGAGAGGGGCGGGAUAUGCCUAACAUCUUGGCUCAAAGACUGGUUGAGGACUUUUCAUUGAAUGGAGGCCUGAUCAUCUAGCUGCUUCACUUGUGUGACAAGAGACCAGCAGUUGAAGCGCAACAGAAGCACAAAAGCACACUCUCAGGAAAGUAAUAUCUACUGCCAGCAAAUUGCAAGGCAUUGAUCUGAGUA